GACGAACGCUGGCGGCGCGCCUAACACAUGCAAGUCGAGCGAGAACCAGGGCUUCGGCCCUGGGGACAGCGGCGAACGGGUGAGUAACACGUGGGUAAUCUGCCCUCGGCACCGGAAUAGCCCGGGGAAACCCGGAUUAAUGCCGGAUGGCCCCUCUGCCCUGCGGGGUGAAGGGAAAAGGUAGCUUUGGCCUCCGGCCGAGGAUGAGCCCGCGGUGGAUUAGCUUGUUGGCGGGGUAACGGCCCACCAAGGCGACGAUCCAUAGCUGGUCUGAGAGGACGAUCAGCCACACUGGGACUGAGACACGGCCCAGACUCCUACGGGAGGCAGCAGUGGGGAAUCUUGCGCAAUGGGCGAAAGCCUGACGCAGCGACGCCGCGUGCGGGAAGAAGGCCUUCGG
rnacentral:rRNA from 1 species